rnacentral:rRNA from 1 species
UACGUAGGGUGCAAGCGUUACUCGGAAUUACUGGGCGUAAAGCGUGCGCAGGCGGUGAUGUAAGACAGAUGUGAAAUCCCCGGGCUCAACCUGGGAACUGCAUUUGUGACUGCAUUGCUGGAGUGCGGCAGAGGGGGAUGGAAUUCCACGUGUAGCAGUGAAAUGCGUAGAUAUGCGGAGGAACACCGAUGGCGAAGGCAAUCCCCUGGGCCUGCACUGACGCUCAUGCACGAAAGCGUGGGGAGCAAACAGG